rnacentral:lncRNA from 1 species
GCCUAGCCUACCGCACGACAGCCUUAGACAGUGCGUGCGGCACCUUAAGCCCCAUCUAUGCACUCUUGGAAGUCAUACCUCCUCUUUUUACGAUUAACUUGGAUGACAUAAUGAUGACAUCAUUAUUUUCUCUCUUCUCAUGGAUUUAUGACACUUGUGCAUAUCCGAUGGUCCCUUUUUUUUGUAAAUAAGGACCUUCUCCACACUUCUUCCUCCACCCAUUUCCACCCUCAGGACAAAAAUUCUAGAGAGAGAAAAAGAUAGAGAAAUAAGAAAAAGAGAAGAAAUGGGGGGCUAGCUUACAAAGAGUUGUCGGUAAUCGGUAAGGGAUUC